GGGGAUUUAGCUUAGUGGCAUAAGUACCUGCCUGGCAAGCAUGAGGUCCUGAGUUUGAUCCCUAGUCCCCC
rnacentral:tRNA from 1 species